CUCUGUGACUCCUACGGGGAGGCAGCAGUCGGGGAAUAUUGCACAAUGGGGGAAACCCUGAUGCAGCCAUGCCGCGUGUGUGAAGAAGGCCUUCGGGUUGUAAAGCACUUUCAGUAGGGAGGAAGGUAGUGUAGUUAACACCUGCAUUAUUUGACGUUACCUACAGAAGAAGCACCGGCUAACUCCGUGCCAGCAGCCGCGGUAAUACGGAGGGGUGCGAGCGUUAAUCGGAAUUACUGGGCGUAAAGCGCAUGCAGGCGGCCUGUUAAGUCAGAUGUGAAAGCCCGGGGCUUAACCUCGGAAUUGCAUUUGAAACUGGCAGGCUAGAGUCUUGUAGAGGGGGGUAGGAAUUUCAGGUGUAGCGGUGAAAUGCGUAGAGAUCUGAAGGAAUACCAGUGGCGAAGGCGGCCCCCUCGGACAAAGACUGACGCUCAGAUGCGAAAGCGUGGGGAGCAAACAGGAUUAGAUACCCUGGUAG
rnacentral:rRNA from 1 species